AACAUACUGAGGGAAAGGGCCGCUCGGAAAGAUCUAGGAAUGAACACCCAUCCUCACACCCCAGGAGUGCCUUGGUUUCAUAGAGUUUCAAAUUCAUUCUUUUUACGGUCAAAAGUCUUGUUUCAGGAAAGCAGCUGGAACAUUAAUGGCAAUUCCACUUUCCCAUUCAUCGCCCCCGCCCCCACCACCCCACCAAGAAACUCAGUGGGAAUGAAUGGUCUACACAGAGAAACUGAAAUCUGGUUAGUCAAGAAGGAAAAAACAACCAAGUGCCUGGCAUUAAGAGGAUUUUUUUUUUAAGCUCAGCCUAUGGACAACAAAAGCAUGGACUGUAUUUCUCAGCAUCUUUUGCAGAUGACUGGAAGGUGCUGGCAGGUUUUGAGCAGAAUCCUGGGGUGCCCAGCUUAUUGUUGAAAGUCCAGUGAGCUACCUCAGGCUUUUCUCUGUGGAAUGACUGUUGCAGAGAACUGCACCUCAGAAGAAUGGAGUUUAAAACUGUGAUGACAUUCUACCUCAUUGAAGAAAUCCUCCAGUGCCAAGGGUGGAUCUCUAAAGAAGGAUUCAAUCCAGGAUCACAUCUUAUAUUUACAAUAACAUGCCUUUUUUCUCCUUCAGUCUGGAACCGUGUCUCAGUCUAUCU
rnacentral:lncRNA from 10 species